CUACCAAGGAAGGAAGCCAGUCUGGCUAUAACCAGCGGCUGCUGUUUGAUGAAGGAGCUUAGGAGCUGAGGGGGGAAUCCUGGAGCACCAAGUUCUACCUGAAAUAAACCAGAGAGGGAAGAGUUAAAGGUGCAGACAGACCCAGAAGAGUGCACCGGGGCACACUUCAGCCAUAAGCAGCCACCCCAGGCUGCUGUGAUUGGAGAGGCUCUGAACUGUCUACAGCCCUGUGCUCUGCUGUUCAGAUCUAGGCAAAAGCUUUACUUCCCAAUGACAAAAGGUCAAGUCAGGGAACUGAGGGUGCUGCUCUGCCUCACAAUGACUCAUCUAUCUCCUGAGGACCCUGGGAACAGCCAGAGGAUGUAGGCCGCCAGGCUCUGGUAAGAGCAGCUUCAGAAGAAGGUUGAUCAACUCUGCCUCAUUCCUUCCUGAUUCCCACUGAUUCGUGACCCAAGAAACCCUUGAGUCUCCAGCUCUCAGGCCACAGAUCCUGGGUACUGAAGGAUGUUGAACAGCUAUACAGAAAGCUCCCAUGGGGCUGGGGUCAAAUCAAGGCAUGCUGUGAGGCCAGCUGCACAAGGUGGAUCACCUGGGCCAAGUAGAUGACUCUGGUGAUCUCCUUCCCUUCCACAGUGAGGGGCUGCAGGAUCCAGGCACUGGGCAGGAUCUCCCCUCGGACCAUCUCCCUGCUGGGUCUCGGCAUGGACGCAUCAUACACAGACUGAGCUGCCAUGAUAGACAGUUGCCCCUGGAAACAGAGCAAUCCUGACACCCCAUUGGACCUAGCUGAGUACCCGGCCUCCUGAGAGCACUGCCUCUGACCCUGCUGCCUCUGUCCCCUGGGCUCACCCAGGCUGAUGCUGUUGGUCACCCGCUGAUGCAGCCUCGCUGUCUGGAUGGGCUUGUGGUACAGCGGCCACAAGGUGGGGUCACUCACAGCUGCCCACACGUGAGACAGUGGCUGGGACACCACGCCAGCCCCCAGGAAGCCAUGCCGAGUAGAAGAAAACACCUUGUAGUACAGAUGCACGUCCUGCUCCUCGCCCUGAGGGCUGGGGGAGACACCAAGGGUGGGGAAGAGGAGGAGGGGAUGAAAGCUGGGUUCUAGAGUCACAGGAAGAGCUCACGGUGAGGGACUCAAGGAAGCCGGGGUGGAGAAGGGAAAGGAGAGAAGGCGAGCAGGGCCACAGGGAGAAGACACUGUGCAAGGGAACUUACUUCCAGCCAGCUGCUGCCUGGCAGCUGAAGAGGUGGUUCAGAUUAUCUGAGCAAGCAGCCAUUACCUGGGGACACAGUGACCACACCCAGAUUAGUGGGCACAGUUUGUACAAAGCAGACUCUUGGAUUAGUCCCUCAGGCCAGCAUUUACUGAAUUCCCCACUUUUGUAAAGAUAGAGAGCUGCUGAAGAAGCCCUCAUCUGCCCUGUUCCUUCCCUCCUCUUUCUUCCUCCCCACCCAGCAGAGUCGGCUACAGGAAACCUCACAUCAGCCAUAGAGAUGUCCACGAUGUGCUUGGCCAAAUCCUUGUAGGAGGAGGAGAAGGAGGUCCCCAGGCUGGACAGGCUGGACGGAGAACAGCAGCAACUGCCCAGGGAGGCUCUGCGGCCUACAAUGAACAGGUGGAGACUCUUGAGACGGCAUGAGCAUCAGGGCCUCAGGGCAGCAACGGCCUCCUUCAAUAAUAAUGUCCCUCCUCCUGAGGGACAGUGGCUCCCUAGGAUCUAGCAGACCUCAGCCCCAAAGUCCCCACACCGGAAGAGAAGAUGCUCAGGACCGGAGCAGAGGCAGGGAAAGAGCAGAACACCAGAAAGCCAGUGCAGAAUUAUCUCCUCUGCCUCUGAACAGCACCAAACAGCUUUCAACAUAAAGGCUCAAGCGAAAAGGUGUUCCCUGCUGGAUGCCCUUGAGAAGUCAACCGCAAUAGAAACCAGUCCCCCUGGAGAGUUUCCUUGCCCUUCAAGCCACACACUCAAGGUUGCUUGUAGGAGAGUUCCAACAGGGAUCAGAAUGAACUGGGACCUGAGACGAUGGGGUACCAGGGGUCAGUGAGUGGGGGGGCCCUCUGCGCCACUGCAGCAACAGGAAUGAGGCCAUGGCUGGAGCUCUGUUUAAUGUGGGCAGCAAACAAAGCCCAACUGGGAGGUGGGAGGUGGAAGGUGGGAUGGGGAAGAAAAGUGACGGGCUGUGAGAAAAGCUUGACCCUUGGCCCCAUCCCCAGGUACAGCAGCUAAGCCAAAGGUCCUAAUUUGGAACCAAAUGGGGAUGGAUGAUCCUCUCGAUUUGCAAUACAGCCACCACACCUUUACUACAAGCAGCUCCUCAAUGACAUGACCCUUGACCUCUGCUGGAUCUAACAGGCAUCCACUAUCCUACCUCUAUCAUCGGUUCCUAACCUAGUGUUACUUUUAAAAAAAAGUGAACAAAGAUAUUCUGUCUCCAUCCUUACGUCCUUUCUUCCUGCUGCAGCAUCCAAGUGGUCUCUCCUACUUCAGGCAGAUUGAGAUUUUUGUGCCACCUUAUCAAGAACCUUUCACUACUGAUCUCUUUCUUCACUUAUUGCCUCCACCUCUCCUUCUUCACUAGAUUCUUCAUAUCAGCAUUUAAGCAUGCAAAAAUUUCUCCCACCUUUAAAAACUUUCCUCUACAGGCAUCUUUGCUCUUUUGUCCUUUACAGAUAAACUUGAAAUGAUUGUCACCGUUUGCCAUCUCCCACCUCUUAUACCCUUCUGAAUGCACUCAAAUCUAGCCUUUGCUAGAUCCAUGUGCCUGAAUGUGGUGAACAGGUCCCAGUCCUCAUCUUACUGAGCAUCUCCCUUUCACUUGCUUCCUGAAUCCCUGGGAUCUUGGCUUUCUGUCUCUCUGGGUGUUCCUUCCCAGUUUAUUUUGUUGGCUCAUCUUCCCCAAACAUAAGUUGAUUUAUUGGGAUUCUUUCAAGACUCGGGCCUAGGCCCUCUUCUCGCUCUAUAAUAUACUCCUGUGUGAUCCCAUCUGUUCCCAGUGCUAUACUGAUGACUUCCAAAAGUAAAUAUGUGUGGAUUAAUCAAUAAAUAUUGCGAGACGACAGGGUCACCAUCUGAAGAAAAGGUUACUGUCAGACCCAUUUCACACAUCUUGCCAAAACAAAUUACUUAUGCUUUGUGGCUCAAAAAUAUACAG